rnacentral:rRNA from 1 species
GAUGAACGCUGGCGGCGUGCCUAACACAUGCAAGUCGAACGAGAACUCUAGGAUGAGACUUCGGUGGAUUCUUGGAAAUUCUAGUGGCGGACGGGUGAGUAACGCGUGGGUAACCUGCCCUUAAGAGGGGGAUAACAGAGAGAAAUUUCUGCUAAUACUCCAUAUGCUUACAGAGCUGCAUGGCUCAGUGAGGAAAUGAAUUUCGCUUAAGGAUGGACCCGCGUUUGAUUAGCCAGUUGGUGGGGUAACGGCCUACCAAAGCUACGAUCAAUAGCCGGCCUGAGAGGGUGAACGGCCACAUUGGGACUGAGACACGGCCCAAACUCC